rnacentral:snoRNA from 1 species
UGUCCUGUGAUGACAGUUAUUUGCUACUCUUGACUUAAUGCUGAUGAACCAAACCACCAAAAAUACUAAACUGAGGCA